CAGCCGCCGCGGUAAUACGUAGGUGGCAAGCGUUGCCCGGAAUUAUUGGGCGUAAAGCGCGCGCAGGUGGUUUAAUAAGUCUGAUGUGAAAGCCCACGGCUCAACCGUGGAGGGUCAUUGGAAACUGUUAAACUUGAGUGCAGGAGAGAAAGGUGGAAUUCCUAGUGUAGCGGUGAAAUGCGUAGAGAUUAGGAGGAACACCAGUGGCGAAGGCGGCUUUUUGGCCUGUAACUGACACUGAGGCGCGAAAGCGUGGGGAGCAAACAGGAUUAGAUACCCCGGUAGUCCCUGUCUCUUAUAA
rnacentral:rRNA from 1 species